rnacentral:tRNA from 1 species
CGGGGCGGAUGUAGCCAAGU